rnacentral:rRNA from 1 species
UACGGAGGGUGCAAGCGUUAAUCGGAAUUACUGGGCGUAAAGCGCGCGUAGGCGGCUUUGUAAGUCGGAUGUGAAAGCCCUGGGCUUAACCUGGGAAUUGCAUUCGAUACUGCUUAGCUAGAGUAUGGUAGAGGGAAGUGGAAUUUCCGGUGUAGCGGUGAAAUGCGUAGAUAUCGGAAGGAACACCAGUGGCGAAGGCGACUUCCUGGGCCAAUACUGACGCUGAGGUGCGAAAGCGUGGGGAGCAAACAGGAUUAGAAACCCCCGUAGUCC